rnacentral:rRNA from 1 species
AUGGACAUCAGGGCGGGCGCUCCGGAGGCGAAGGCGGGACGGGAGUGGGGGCUGCCGGCAUCGAUGGUGCUGGUGCAGCUGUUCAUGGCGGGGAUGAUCGUGCUGUCCAAGGUGUCCAUCGCCGGCGGCAUGUUCAUCUUUGCGCUCCUCGCCUACCGCGGCCUCCUCGGCGCCGCAUUCGUCGUCCCCUUCGCGCUCGGCUAUGAAAGGGGUAAGUGGAGGGAGAUGGAUUGGCACGCCACUGGAUGGAUCUUCCUCAAUGCCUUGAUCGGGUACACAAUGCCAAUGAGCCUAUACUACUAUGGCCUCCGCGAUACAACACCAUCUUAUGCCGCCAUCUUUAUGAAUAUAAGUCCGUUGUUAACCUUCAUCCUCUCGCUCAUCUUCAGAAUGGAGACGUUGCAAAUCCGGAGCAUAGUUGGAUCACUGAAGAUCGUAGGCAUUAUGCUCUCUAUUGGAGGCACUAUGCUCAUUAGUCUUUACAAGGGCAAGAUAUUGCAUCUUUGGGAUCCCAUCCUAGAGCACCACCACAGAGAAUUGACGACUAAGGUUGCGGGAAAUCAACUAAGAGGAACAAUAUUCUUGGCAGGCAGCAGCUUCACGUUUUCUUGCUGGUACCUGACUCAGUCAAAAGUUCUCAAGGUGUAUCCAUACAAAUAUUGGUCAACUAUGGCGACAUGCUUGGCUGGAGGAUUUCAGACAACACUAGUUGGAAUAAUAUUGAGUAGAGACAAGAACACAUGGAAGCUAGGUUGGGAUCUGAACCUUGUGACCAUCUUGUACUCGGGGGUACUUGCAACGGCGGGGAGAUAUUGCAUGACCUUGUGGGUCGUGUCCAAGCGAGGCCCAACAUAUCCUCCGAUGUUCAACCCAUUAUCUGUGGUGUUUACGAUUUUGUUGGACUCAAUCUUCAUAGGCGACGAAAUUACUGUGGGAAGCCUAGUUGGAACGGCAAUGGCGAUUGUUGGGCUCUAUAUUUUCAUAUGGGGAAAAUCAAAAGAAGUGAAUGAAAAAUAG